rnacentral:rRNA from 1 species
GACGAACGCUGGCGGCGUGCUUAACACAUGCAAGUCGAACGAGUGGCGAACGGGUGAGUAAUACGUGCGUAACCUGCCCUCUUUUUGGGAUAAGCUUUGGAAACGGGGUCUAAUACCGGAUAAAGGGGGCUGGGCUGGCGGCCUAUCAGCUUGUUGGUGGGGUGAUGGCCUACCAAGGCGGUGACGGGUAGCCGGCCUGAGAGGGGACACGGCGACUUGGGGACCGGGAUACGGCCCAGACUCCGACGGGGGGCAGCAGUGGGGGAUAUGGGACAAUGGGCGAAAGCCUGAUGCAGCGACGCCGCGUGGGGGAUGAAGGCUUUCGGGUUGUAAACCUCUUUCGCUAUAGAACGGGUAGGUGGAGAAGAAGCGCCGGCUAACUACGUGCCAGCAGCCGCGGUAAUAC